CUUGCACAAAUGAUAAAUUAAAAUGGACACCCAACUCCCCUCACCAAAUCCGUUGUAGCUUGGAGAGUAUUGGUCUGAAAUACAAAAACAUGCAAGGUGUCUCCAGACUAAUAUGGGCAAACAUGGUCAUUUGUUGUUUUUUUUUCAUUUUGAUACCACAGUGCAUGGGAUUCUGGAUACCUGAUACCUAGACUGUGUCCAAUAUAAGUACUGCAUUAUCAUAUAGAUACAUCAAUAAUGGAUACAACAUUUCACAUGGAGGAGAUAGACACUACAGUGAGUCAUUCUUUCUAUUGAGUAAUUAGAUUGCUCAGUCUAUAUGUAGGAUCUUUCUGUAGGGCAGAGAGCAGCUCCACUCCAGACUGAUGGAGUCUGUUGUAUCUUAGGUUCAGCUCUCUCAGACUGGAGGGGUUUGAUCUGAGAGCUGAAGCUAGAGAUGAACAGCUCCUCAUGCUGAGGUCACAUUUCCGCAG